rnacentral:rRNA from 1 species
UACAGAGGGUGCGAGCGUUAAUCGGAAUUACUGGGCGUAAAGCGUGCGUAGACGGUUAUUUAAGUCGGGUGUGAAAGCCCCGGGCUCAACCUGGGAAUUGCAUUCGAGACUGAAUAGCUAGGGUACGGUAGAGGGAAGCGGAAUUUCCGGUGUAGCGGUGAAAUGCGUAGAUAAUCGGAAGGAACAUCAGUGGCGAAAGCGGCUUCCUG